ACCAUAAAACCCGAGACUGUGAGCCACGUGGCAGAGCUGUUCUCCUGGGUUCCCUUACCCUACUGCUCUCCACCUGGGUGCCCUUUCCAAUAAAAUCUCUUGCUUUGUCAGCACGUGUCUUCUCGGACAAUUCUUUUCCCAGUGUUAGACAAGAGCCCACUCUUGAGACCCUGUAAGGGGGUGGGGGCCUCCCCCUUCCUACAACAACUGGCAACCAUGAAGGGACACCCCCAUUUUUACUGGGGCUGACAUCCAGACCACUCGGGGUACCCCAGGACCAGCUCGCCUGCCGACGGAUCUGACCCAGCGGCCGCAAUUGGGACUCGUUUGUCCCUAGUCUCCUCCUGACGUGGACAACUGGCCAGGGUGCCCCGACCGGGCCUUAUCUUCCUGCAACAAACCCCCUUCUCUGCACUGUGCCGUGCCCAGCCCGGUUCAGCCCAUCCCAGCUCUGCCCUGCCCAAGAGGAAGUUCUACAGGGGUGGUAAAGGAGUAUGGUCUACCAAUGUGGAGCCUGGCAGAAUCAAAAUGCAUGUAGGAUUGUGUCUGGAGGAAGGGACGCAACCUGCGAUUUGCGGCAUCUUAGGUCUCCGACCAGGGAUGGAGUCUGCACUACCUGCAGUGGAAGUGCAGAGUCCUAACCACUGGACCACCAGGGUCUAACAUUUCCUCUGAGGUUCUACGUUGGUUGCAUUUCACAAGUUUUUAUAUGUGACUUAGAAUUGUGUCCCCUACCCACCUACCCAUCCUUUUUUUAAAAAAAUAUUUAUUUAUUUGGCUGCACAGCAUGUGGAACCUUAAUUCCCAACUGGGGCUUGAACUUGCACCCCUGCACUGGAAGUACAGCAUCUUAACCACUGGACUGCCAGGGAAGUCCCCCCACCCACACUUUUACUAACUGAACCGAAUCCUAGUGGACACAGGAGAUAUCCACAGAGGUGAGAAUUGGAGACAUAGCAUGGAUGCUGUUCGCCAAGAAGAACACGUAGAAGGAGAAGAGAAGGGAGUCAAAGGGAGGACCUUGAAGGAUGCUUAGGUUUGAGGUGUGGGUGAAAGAGAAGCCCUUGACGGCCAUGGAGAAGGAGGGUCAGAAAGGAACUGAAAGUAUCUGGUAAAACGGAAGAUGUUGGACUUCCCUGAUGGUCCAGUGAUAAAAGAAUCUGCCUGCCAAUGCAGGGGACAUGGGUUCGAUCCCUGGUCCAGGAAGAUCCCACUUGCUGUGGGGUAAUGAAGCCUGUGCUCUAGG